rnacentral:rRNA from 1 species
AACGAACGCUGGCGGCAUGCCUAACACAUGCAAGUCGAACGAGACCUCCGGGCCUAGUGGCGCACGGGUGCGUAACGCGUGGGAACUUGCCCUUAGGUACGGUAUAAUUCCCUGUAAGGGGUGCUAAUACCGCUUAAUGUCUUAGCACCUAAGAUCUAUCGCUUCUGGGUGGGGGCGCGUUGGAUUCGCUGGUUGGUAGGGUAAUAGCCUGCCAUGGCGACGAUCCAUAGCUGGUCGGUUAGGAUGAUCUGCUGCGCUGGGACUGAGACACGGACCAGACUCCGACGGGAGGGAGCAGAAGGGAAUAUUAGGCGAGGGGCGAAAGCCUGGUCCAGCAGUGCCGCGUAAGUGAUGAAGGGCUUAGGAUUGUGAAGCUCUUUUACCCGGGAUGAUAGUGACAGUACCGGGUGAAUAAGCACCGGCUAACUCCGUG